ACGUAGGGGGCAAGCGUUAUCCGGAAUUAUUGGGCGUAAAGAGUGCGUAGGUGGUUUUUUAAGCGUGAGGUGAAAGGCAAUAGCUUAACUAUUGUAAGCCUUGCGAACUGGAAGACUUGAGUGCAGGAGAGGAAAGUGGAAUUCCUAGUGUAGCGGUUAAAUGCGUAUAUAUUAGGAGGAACACCAGAGGCGAAGGCGACAUACUGGACUGUAUCUCACACUGAGGCACGAAAGCGUGGGUAGCAAACAG
rnacentral:rRNA from 1 species